rnacentral:rRNA from 1 species
CUGGAGGUAUCAGAAGUGCGAAUGCUGACAUAAGUAACGAUAAAGCGGGUGAAAAGCCCGCUCGCCGGAAGACCAAGGGUUCCUGUCCAACGUUAAUCGGGGCAGGGUGAGUCGACCCCUAAGGCGAGGCCGAAAGGCGUAGUCGAUGGGAAACAGGUUAAUAUUCCUGUACUUGGUGUUACUGCGAAGGGGGGACGGAGAAGGCUAUGUUGGCCGGGCGACGGUUGUCCCGGUUUAAGCGUGUAGGCUGGUUUUCCAGGCAAAUCCGGAAAAUCAAGGCUGAGGCGUGAUGACGAGGCACUACGGUGCUGAAGCAACAAAUGCCCUGCUUCCAGGAAAAGCCUCUAAGCAUCAGGUAACAUCAAAUCGUACCCCAAACCGACACAGGUGGUCAGGUAGAGAAUACCAAGGCGCUUGAGAGAACUCGGGUGAAGGAACUAGGCAAAAUGGUGCCGUAACUUCGGGAGAAGGCACGCUGAUAUGUAGGUGAGGUCCCUCG